rnacentral:lncRNA from 1 species
AAUAUACCUUCAAUAUUUCUGGUAAAUUCUAAUAGAAAUAUUUGAUAAAUAUUUACUUGUACUGAUCUGUUUUAGAAACUAAAAUUAUUAAGUAUUUCCAACCAAUUUUCCUAAAUAAAGUUCCAGCUUAAUAAAUGACAGUUUAAAUAAAUUGAGUAAAUUUCGCGGCUAAAGUGAUCACGUGUGAAGCUCCGCAGGAAAAAAAAAAAAUCUGCUUUCCUCAGCAGCGACGUCGACUGGCCAUACACCUCACAGCUCCUGGUAAGUAAGGUUAGUCAGCUAAUCCUACUUACGUUUGUAACACUUUAUUAAAAAGUUAAUAAUUAUUAAGCAUUUUCUAACAAUUGUCUUUGUAUUUUACGUCAUAUUCAACAAGUUUCGUAGCUUAAUCGAAGUCACCUGAAGGACGGCUUUCCUCAGCAACGGCAAGACCCGCACUCCUCUCAUUUCGUGGUACGUUAUGUAAUUUAGCCAGCUAAUACUAAUUAUGUUUGUAAUGUUUAAUUCAGAAGUUAAUUAAUAAGGAUUUCCUAACAAUUGUGUUUGUAUUUUGCGUUAUCUUAAGAAGUUUAACAAGUUUCGCGGCUCAAACAAGAAGCACCUGUCACUGAAGGACUGCUUUUCUCAGCAACGACGUGAACAGCAUUACUCGAAUUUCCUGGUUCAGCUGAUCUACCCGUCUUCGUACACGCAGAGUUGGCAGAGGAGGUCAUAAAAAUCUACAUCCUUCGGGACAAUAAUGGGGCAGUCAGCGGCGUAAUCUUGGGAAUCUCAGCAGAGCCUGCUGCCAUCUUUCAGGAGUCACAUUGGAUUUGAGAUCUCCCAAGACCCACAAAUACAGGUCCUUCUCCAAAAAUUAGCAUAUUGUGAUAAAGUUCAUUAUUUUCCAUAAUGUACUGAUAAAAAUUAAACUUUCAUAUAUUUUAGAUUCAUUGCACACCAACUGAAAUAUUUCAGGUCUUUUAUUGUUUAAAUACUGAUGCUUUUGGCAUACAGCUCAUGAAAACCAUAAAUUCCUAUCUCAAAAAAAUAGCUUAUUUCAUCUGACCAAUAAAAGUGUUUUUAAUACAAAAAAGUCAAC